rnacentral:rRNA from 1 species
AACGAACGCUGGCGGCAUGCCUAACACAUGCAAGUCGAACGAGACCUUCGGGUCUAGUGGCGCACGGGUGCGUAACGCGUGGGAACCUGCCCUUAGGUUCGGAAUAACUCCCCGACAGGGGUGCUAAUACCGGAUAAUGUCUUCGGACCAAAGAUUUAUCGCCUUUGGAGGGGCCCGCGUUGGAUUAGCUAGUUGGUAGGGUAAAAGCCUACCAAGGCGACGAUCCAUAGCUGGUCUGAGAGGAUGAUCAGCCACACUGGGACUGAGACACGGCCCAGACUCCUACGGGAGGCAGCAGUGGGGAAUAUUGGACAAUGGGCGAAAGCCUGAUCCAGCAAUGCCGCGUGAGUGAUGAAGGCCUUAGGGUUGUAAAGCUCUUUUACCCGGGAUGAUAAUGACAGUACCGGGAGAAUAAGCUCCGGCUAACUCCGUG